rnacentral:snoRNA from 1 species
UAUAAUUGUUAUGAUGAUUCCAUAGUUCAACUGAUAGAACUAUGAUGAUAAUUUAUAUUUUAUAGUCUUUCGCUCCUAUCUGAUAUUUAUA